rnacentral:lncRNA from 1 species
UCGUGUUUCCCAUGUCACCAGGGUUAGCUAGGCCCUUAGACACUACCAAGGUGAAUGGCUAGGGAUCCACUACGAGGCCUUUACAAAGUUUCACUAGCUUCCGAAAACCCGCUACAGUUUAUGGGAAGAGCACUUGCAAGAAUCACUCGUCUGACCGCCAUCGCAGCAAAAUCAACCCGAGAACCUCCUUGCAUGCAACUCCCCUACUGCCCUUGCCCCUUUCGGGUAAGGUAGUCUUCCACUAGCUUUCCUAAUUAGUUAGCCAAGGGGUCCCAUUCCUCCCUUGUGGUGGCACGUAUUUCUCAAGUUAAGCUCCAUGUUCCAAUUAACAAUAAUAUAAUGAUCUUGACAUGAACAUAAAUAAAUAACAAAAUAACCGCAACAUGGAUAUAAUAAAUGAUUAUCACAAAACCAUAUAAAGCAAUAGCAAAAACUACCCGUGUGAUUCAGGGGCAAACAAGGUAAUGAGAUAAACAAUCUAGGGUGACCUAUUAGGUCCCAUCAAAAUUAAACCUAUGCAUGGUAAAUGAUUAUAAAGAACAUUAUUGGGUAACAAAAGUGAAUCAAGGGCACAACUUGCCUGGCACUUGAGAUUCCAGUUACCAGAGUGAUUCUUCAGAUCCUCGUGACCGCACUGCUAGUCGUAGCAAUACAAACAGACAUGGUAUAGACAAAAUUAACAUCACACCAAACAUAAGAACAAACUGUGUAAUAAUAAUCUACGCGUUGUAACGAGAUCGUGGGUUCGAGAAUUACUAAAUUCAGAGCUACGGUUGAGACGAUAUGAUUUUCCAAAGAUUUAGGUGAUUAAACAAGAAAAGGUAUAUUAUAUGUUACUUAAUAUAAAUCAUGUGAGAAAUAUUUUAUUAAAAUUUAAUUCGAGAUAUAACUUUAACAUAGGUCCAACAAAUUAAUUAGUUAUUUGAGAACAUAUUACAUUAUAAAACUAAGGUUACUAAAGUGUAAGCAAUAUUAACACGAGUCUAACGCAACAUGAAUGGACCAACUCGGAAUCAUAGAUUUUAAGUUAUGGAUUUCUAAUGACUCUAUGUGUUUUGUACAAGAUUAAAUAGGAUAUAAAUUUUAAUGUGACUUUCAUGUGAAAACAGUGUCACUAGAUGAUAGACAAUAACAUUACAAAAUUAUAGGAAUUGGAACAGAUUAAUUUGGGCUUAAUAUGAAUUUUCUAUGAAUUACCCAAAUUUUACAAUUAUUUUUAUACUCAAAAUCAACUUCUAAAUCUAUUUUCCAGUUUUAUUUAAUUCCUGGACUGGGCCUCAAUUCCUAGAGAAUGUAGGGGUUAUUCUACAAAUAUUCUCGAGACUCAGAGCGCUGUUGCUCUGGACGGCGGGUUCAUUUUCUAAUUUCAUAAGGUCUCUUAUGCAAAAACGACAGGGCGAAGGGGUAUGGAGUAUCUAGGGCCGCCCGAUCAAGUUUGGGUGGUCAAGAUUAGGUUCCCAAUCCAACGGGUAUGCGAUCCGAGCGGUCGGAUCCCCGAUCCAUGGCCCGAUACGAACGUUAUCCGCCACCGUUGGAUCAACCAUCGAUAGUCCUGAUUCUAUGUGGUGAAGGGGUGUCUGUGAUUUCUAAUCCGGUGCGCACAAUGUGGAUCUGACGGCCAGAGGGGCUUCUUCCCCAACCCGGUCGAGACGAAGCAGUGGCCCGCAUUAGCACGAUGGCGCAGCUCCGGUGAGCAGGCACCCAAACUGUCCCAGCACACGGACCCGAGCUAGGAUGAACUACGUGCGUAGUGGACUAGGGCACAUAACAGAAAGGAAUUUUUUUACCGUGGACCUUGUAGCGUGAUGGCCCAGCCACUGAGAAGCGCGGCCAUCGACGAAGUUGGAUUCUGGUGAAGAAUUCGUCUGCCACCGAGGUUUCCACCCUUCAUCCCAAUGCUACAGUUUCACUCCACGCGUCAUGGUGAAGCUCCAUGGCCAUGGCUUGGCCUUCGAGCGAUGGCAUCGGUGGAAAACACCGUUGACAACAGAUCUCCCUCGCUCUCUGCCAUAUCUCUUGGCGACAAACUAGCUGUGAUGGAUCUCUGGAACGCCUGCUUCGGCAGUGG